UAGGUGUCCGUCUGUCCUGAAUGGAGUUUAUGACUGGGCAUGUCUGUCUGGGGUAGAUGUUUGUCCAUGGGGUAGGUGUCCAUCUGUCCUGAAUGGGGUUCAUGACCGGCCAUAGGUGUUUGUCUGUCUUAAUGGGGUAGGUGUCUGUCUGUCUUAAUGGGGUAGGUGUCUGUCUGUCUUAAUGGGGUAGGUGUCUGCCUUGUCUUAAUGGGGUAGGUGUCUGCCUUGUCUUAAUGGGGUAGGUGUCUGUCUAUCUUAAUGGGGUAGGUGUCUGUCUGUCACACCACUAGUGCUGUCCUCGUCUGGUCAUUCAGACGGUGCCCCUACUGGUGGUGGAAAACGUAUGUAUGUAUGUGUACAUUUAAUUUUGCAACGUGAGCGGUGGUCAGAAUGUCAGGCGCGGUUCCAGAAUCUUACAUAAGUAUUCAAUGUUGUACAGAGAUUGUGUGAUGGUCAGCAUGUUGUAGAGGUUGUGUGAUGGUUUUGUCCUGUCUGCAUGUUGUACAGAGGUUGUGUGAUGGUCAGCAUGUUGUACAGAGGUUGUGUGAUGGUCUGCAUGUUGUACAGAGGUUGUGUGAUGGUUU
rnacentral:lncRNA from 13 species